UAACGACUCUCGGCAACGGAUAUCUCGGCUCUCGCAUCGAUGAAGAACGUAGCGAAAUGCGAUACUUGGUGUGAAUUGCAGAAUCCCGUGAACCAUCGAGUCUUUGAACGCAAGUUGCGCCCGAAGCCUUUAGGCYGAGGGCACGYCUGCCUGGGCGUCACG
rnacentral:rRNA from 1 species